rnacentral:rRNA from 1 species
CCUACGGGAGGCAGCAGUGGGGAAUAUUGCACAAUGGGCGCAAGCCUGAUGCAGCGACGCCGCGUGAGGGAUGACGGCCUUCGGGUUGUAAACCUCUUUCAGUAGGGAAGAAGCGAAAGUGACGGUACCUGCAGAAGAAGCGCCGGCUAACUACGUGCCAGCAGCCGCGGUAAUACGUAGGGCGCAAGCGUUAUCCGGAAUUAUUGGGCGUAAAGAGCUCGUAGGCGGUUUGUCGCGUCUGCCGUGAAAGUCCGGGGCUCAACUCCGGAUCUGCGGUGGGUACGGGCAGACUAGAGUGAUGUAGGGGAGACUGGAAUUCCUGGUGUAGCGGUGAAAUGCGCAGAUAUCAGGAGGAACACCGAUGGCGAAGGCAGGUCUCUGGGCAUUAACUGACGCUGAGGAGCGAAAGCAUGGGGAGCGAACAGGAUUAGAUACCCUGGUAGUCCAUGCCGUAAACGUUGGGCACUAGGUGUGGGGGACAUUCCACGUUUUCCGCGCCGUAGCUAACGCAUAAGUGCCCGCCUGGGAGUAGGCCGCAAGGCUAAACUCAAAGUUGAGUGCGNGNGNGNGNGCGACGACGACGAGAGGAGAG